rnacentral:rRNA from 2 species
UGGAAACAGUGCUAAUACCGCAUAACAACUUGGACCGCAUGGUCCGAGCUUGAAAGAUGGCUUCGGCUAUCACUUUUGGAUGGUCCCGCGGCGUAUUAGCUAGAUGGUGGGGUAACGGCUCACCAUGGCAAUGAUACGUAGCCGACCUGAGAGGGUAAUCGGCCACAUUGGGACUGAGACACGGCCCAAACUCCUACGGGAGGCAGCAGUAGGGAAUCUUCCACAAUGGACGAAAGUCUGAUGGAGCAACGCCGCGUGAGUGAAGAAGGGUUUCGGCUCGUAAAACUCUGUUGUUAAAGAAGAACAUAUCUGAGAGUAACUGUUCAGGUAUUGACGGUAUUUAACCAGAAAGCCACGGCUAACUACGUGCCAGCAGCCGCGGUAAUACGUAGGUGGCAAGCGUUGUCCGGAUUUAUUGGGCGUAAAGCGAGCGCAGGCGGUUUUUUAAGUCUGAUGUGAAAGCCUUCGGCUCAACCGAAGAAGUGCAUCGGAAACU